CCUACGGGAGGCAGCAGUGAGGAAUAUUGGUCAAUGGACGAGAGUCUGAACCAGCCAAGUAGCGUGAAGGAUGACUGCCCUAUGGGUUGUAAACUUCUUUUAUAUGGGAAUAAAACGUUCCACGUGUGGGAUUUUGUAUGUACCAUAUGAAUAAGGAUCGGCUAACUACGUGCCAGCAGCCGCGGUAAUACGGAGGAGCCGAGCGUUAUCCGGAUUUAUUGGGUUUAAUAGGAGCGUAGGUGGAUUGUUAAGUCAGUUGUGAAAGUUUGCGGCUCAACCGUAAAAUUGCAGUUGAAACUGGCAGUCUUGAGUACAGUAGAGGUGGGCGGAAUUCGUGGUGUAGCGGUGAAAUGCUUAGAUAUCACGAAGAACGCCGAUUGCGAAGGCAGUUCACUGGACUGCAACUGACACUGAGGCUCGAAAGUGUGGGUAUCAAACAGGAUUAGAUACCCGAGUAGUC
rnacentral:rRNA from 1 species